rnacentral:rRNA from 1 species
AGAGUUUGAUCAUGGCUCAGGAUGAACGCUAGCUACAGGCUUAACACAUGCAAGUCGAGGGGAAACGACAUCGAAAGCUUGCUUUUGAUGGGCGUCGACCGGCGCACGGGUGAGUAACGCGUAUCCAACCUGCCCACCACUUGGGGAUAACCUUGCGAAAGUAAGACUAAUACCCAAUGACGUCUCUAGAAGACAUCUGAAAGAGAUUAAAGAUUUAUCGGUGAUGGAUGGGGAUGCGCCUGAUUAGCUUGUUGGCGGGGUAACGCCGCAAGGCUACGAUCAGUAGGGGUUCUGAGAGGAAGGUCCCCCACAUUGGAACUGAGACACGGUCCAAACGUCCUACGGGAGGCA